rnacentral:tRNA from 1 species
GGGCUCGUAGCUCAGCUUGGAUAGAGCGACGCUCUCCUAAGGCGAAGGUCGUGGGUUCAAAAGCCUUGUCGGCACGCCGACAAGAUUUGCCAGCAAGGCUGUCAAUCCCACCGGGCCCG